rnacentral:lncRNA from 1 species
UUCUAGUAGCUAUACAGGAAGUGAUAGUAAGAGAACUCCUUUUAAGAAAAUAAUUUUCCUUCCUUUCUAAUCAUCAAAUUUCGUUACUUUUUGCCCAAAUAAAAAAGACUUUAUGGAAAACUAUAACUAUUUAACACACACAUUAAAUUCUCAUUUUCAGGACAUAUUAAAAAUGAGCCAGUGGCACAUGUCUGCAAUCCCAACACUUGGGAGGCUGAAGCAGGAGGAUCACCGUGAGUUUGAGGCCAGCCUGAACUACACAGCAAGCCCUUGUCUCAAAAAAAAACCUCAAAUAGAUAGACAGACAGACAGACAGAUAGAUGGAUGACAUAUUCUGACAAAGUCUUGCUGUGUAGUCCAGGCUGGUAUUGAGCUGAACCUUUUGGCUUGUCAAAUUAAUCAAAAGGAAGGACCACGCAUGCUGCAGGGGAUGGAAAGGGACUGGAAAAUCAUAAACUGGGCUUUGGGCUCUCACUACACAGGCAAAGAGCUGAGCUUAUAAUGAUGCCAUGCCCUUGAAUCUCCACAUGUGUAAACUAAGUGAGCCUCUCUUUGAGUUACCCAGCCUCAAAUGUAUAGCAAUGGAAAAUGGAUUUAUACAGUUUGCUGAAAGAAGAGUGUGGCAAAUCUGGUUCAAAUACAUUACUGCGGGUCCUUUCCAAAGUCUUUUUCC